ncrna:Pongo pygmaeus (Bornean orangutan) microRNA ppy-mir-132 precursor
CUCCAGGGCAACCGUGGCUUUCGAUUGUUACUGUGGGAACUGGAGGUAACAGUCUACAGCCAUGGUCGCCCCGCAGCA